CCUACGGGAGGCAGCAGUGGGGAAUAUUGCACAAUGGGGGAAACCCUGAUGCAGCGAAGCCGCGUGAGUGAAGAAGUAAUUCGUUACGUAAAGCUCUAUCAGCAAGGAAGAAAAUGACGGUACCUGAGUAAGAAGCCCCGGCUAACUACGAGCCAGCAGCCGCGGUAAUACGUAGGGGGCAAGCGUUAUCCGGAUUGACUGGGUGUAAAGGGAGCUUAGACGGUGCGCCAAGUCUGGAGUGAAAUGCUGCAGCUUAACUGCGGAACUGCUGUGGAAACUGGCGAACUAGAGUGCGGUAGAGGUAAGCGGAAGUCGUAGUGUAGCGGUGAAAUGCGUAGAUAUUAGGAGGAACACCGGUGGCGAAGGCGGCUUACUGGACCGUAACUGACGUUGAUGCUCGAAAGCGUGGGGAGCAAACAGGAUUAGAUACCCGGGUAGUC
rnacentral:rRNA from 1 species